rnacentral:rRNA from 1 species
AGGACGAACGCUGGCGGCGUGCCUAACACAUGCAAGUGGAGCGACGAACCAGGCUUCGGCCUGGGGCAGAGCCGCGAACGGGUGAGUAACACGUGGGUUACCUGCCUCGAUGACCGGGACAACCCGAGGAAACUCGGGCUAAUACCGGAUGUGCCCGCAAGGGGAAAGGAAGCUUCGGCCUCCGCAUCGAGAUGGGCCCGCGGCCCAUUAGCUUGUUGGUGAGGUAACGGCUCACCAAGGCUUCGAUGGGUAGCUGGUCUGAGAGGACGAUCAGCCACACUGGGACUGAGACACGGCCCAGACUCCUACGGGAGGCAGCAGUGGGGAAUCUUGCGCAAUGCGCGAAAGCGUGACGCAGCAACGCCGCGUGGGGGAAGAAGGCUUUCGGGUGUAAACCCCUUUCAGUUGGGACGAAGCUUCUCCGGUGAAUAGCCGGACGGAGUGACGGUACCUUCACAAGAAGCACCGGCUAACUACGUGCCAGCAGCCGC